UGAAAAAGAUUCGGCUCGUCCUCGAACUACACAUCACUCACUAUCCGCUUUCUGCUCUUUUCUAGGCGACACUUAGGUACGCGAAAUACAGCUACUAACGCUUUCGUAUAUAUUUUUUGAAUAUAUACAUAUAUAAACGGGAAAUGGACCGGAAAGAGACAGAGGUGGACGAGAAAGGAGUUUCAUCCUCUACAAGCGGAGUUGUUGUGCAAGUUAGGGAGAAGAAGGGACCUCUGCGCGCGGCCAUCCCCUACAUGCCAUUUCCUGUAGCUGUCAUAUGUCUGUUCCUCAACACUUUCGUUCCCGGGUUAGGCACAUUAAUCUCAGCCUUUACUGUGCUAUGCGGUGCCAGGACGGAUCUGCCGGAUAAACACGUGUGCUGCGUGUUUUGGCUCAACAUUGCUGCAGCCUUCAUCCAGAUCAUCACUGCUGUGGUCAUGGUGGGCUGGAUCAUGAGCAUAUUCUGGGGCAUGGACAUGGUUAUCCUUGCAAGUGAGCAUCAUACAUAGCCACACACUAUAUCUCAAACGGGGAGACUCUGUCUUAUGCUAGACCAGAUAUAAACUCUUUAGUCUUUUGUAAAUUGAUAGACUCAGAAGCAGAACCGACAGAGCAUGGUGAAGAAAAAGGUGUGAAAAUGGAUGAAGAAAAGUGCCCAACAUACCUGACAUAGAUUUAAACUUUUCUUAAUUAUUGUGCUCAAGGUUAUGAUGGUUGGUAAGGAUCAAGAAGGGGUGUUCUGCACCUUCGAGCCAGUGUUUCCAGUCUUCCAGAGCUACCUCAAUGGCCAGUAGUUUACGGUUCUCCACAUUAUUGUUAUAUUCUGUUGGGUUAAGCUUUCCUGUGUAGAAGGCACAUGGGUGUAACUUUGAUGGGGUUCCCAUUGUGUUGUGAGAGGAUCAGUCCUGUGCUGCUCUUUGAGGCAUCCCCCUCAACUACAAACUGCAUGGAAGCAUUGGUGAGUCAACCCUUGCAUGUUUGGAAGACCGCUCAUGUAACUUAAGUCCCUUUUGCUUCCUCUUGCAGUGAGGUGAACCCUAGGAAUCAUUCUAGUUACCGUACCUCUUGUGGCCAAGAGGUUACUACUACACUCUUUGUCUUGUCCAUUUUCACACCCUAGGAUAAUCUAGGAUACCCUAGGAUAAUCCAUUGAUAAUCUAUCCAAGAAAGGCUAUGUUCUUAACUUAUGAAGGCCUUGGAACACUGAGAGGGUAUUGAGACGUCCAUAAGGAAUGCCCUGGUAUUCUUAGUGGCUGGACAAUAAUAUAGGCAGUCUUUCUCUCACCCAUAAAUACUGGUAAGACAGAUUAUAAGAUCUCAUUACACCCUUAGCCUUUAGUUGUUAUGAGAUGUCACUGCAUAUCCUGUAGCAAUCUAGUUUUUUUUUUUUUUACCUGCUGUGGAAUACUUUUUUAGUUGCUCAUAUGCUAGAGUAAAAUGAUGUUUUAAGCCACUUCUACACCAUACAGCAUCUCUGCUAUCUUAAUGUGCAUAUUUGUAGUCCUAUGAACAGUGACGAUAGCUACUUUUUGACUUUAGAGAUCAGAUAGAGAUCACUGUCAUAACUGCUUUAUGUGAACAGUCAAGAGAACAUUUUUCUAUUUUUGUUGUUUUAAAAACAGUUAUUCUUUCAAACCCACUGUAAAUAUAGCUUCUGUUUCCCUUCCGUUUUGUAAACAUAGUGUUGGACUGCAUAAUUUUGAAAGUCAUUGCUAUAUUUGUAUGUUGUCAAAAAAAUUAACAGUUAUUUUCCUAUUUAUUUUCCAUGCUACCCUGCCUCAAACAAAAGUCUCUGAAGGUAGGUUCAAUGCAUGGCCUUUGUUCUACUUCCUUAAACAGAAUAGUUGGACAAUAUUGCUUAAAAAGUUCCAUGUAAUA